CAGGCCGAGCCCAAAGAGAACGCUCCAGAGCGAUGCUGGUUCGCUACCCAGAGUGUGAAGCAGGGAGGGAGAGAACGAUGGUUGGCGAAGUGUCUGCCCCGGCCUCUGCAGUAGGAUGGAGGACCGGUCAGACCCUGCGCGUCCCGGGGUUGCUCAGACCGCACAAAGGGCCUUCAGCUGCCAGCCCCCGCCCGCAAUUUCCUUACCUGUGCCUGGCGGCCGACCCUCGGGACCCUCAGGGCCGCCAGAAGAAGCCCUGCGUAGCACUGAGAAAAAAACCAAAAGCAGCAGAAGGACUAGCAGCCACAGCCCGACAAACACCACCAGGACUUCUACGUUCGGUUCUCCGGAGCGAGCCCCGCCCCUCUUCCCCUGCACCGCCCUCCCUCCAGACGGCGAGGAUCCCGGAUGUUACCUCCUCCGGCGCUCUGAAUCUCCGCCCUUUCUCCUCAGGUCCCCGCCCCUUUCGAACGUGCUGCUGGUUCCCGCGAGGCCUAGAGUUUCGAUGUCUCCUGGGUGGCUAGAGCGUCUUCCUGCGCUGGGUCGCGCUGCAGGUGACGGCGCCCGGAGGCUGUCGGGAAGUAGGCGGGGUGACGUGUGGUUGACGAGCUCGGCGGCGGGUUUGCUGAGAUCUGUGGCCGGCGGCAGCUGGUGCGGGGGGCUGCCGAGAACGCGAGGUGGAGUGGGGCGGUGUGUGGCCGGGGCCAUGACGGGCAAUGCCGGGGAGUGGUGCCUCAUGGAAAGCGACCCCGGAGUCUUCACCGAGCUCAUUAAAGGAUUCGGUUGCCGAGGAGCCCAAGUAGAAGAAAUAUGGAGUUUAGAGCCUGAAAAUUUUGAAAAAUUAAAGCCAGUUCAUGGCUUAAUUUUUCUUUUCAAGUGGCAGCCAGGAGAAGAACCAGCAGGCUCUGUUGUUCAGGAUUCCAGACUUGACACAAUAUUUUUUGCAAAGCAGGUAAUUAACAAUGCAUGUGCCACUCAAGCCAUUGUAAGUGUGUUAUUGAAUUGUACCCAUCAAGAUGUUCAUUUAGGAGAGACAUUAUCAGAGUUUAAAGAAUUUUCACAAAGUUUUGAUGCAGCUAUGAAGGGUUUGGCACUGAGCAAUUCAGAUGUGAUUCGACAAGUACACAACAGUUUUGCCAGACAGCAAAUGUUUGAAUUUGAUGCAAAAACUUCAGCCAAAGAAGAAGAUGCUUUUCACUUUGUCAGUUAUGUUCCUGUUAAUGGAAGACUGUAUGAAUUAGAUGGAUUAAGAGAAGGACCAAUUGAUUUAGGUGCUUGCAAUCAAGAUGACUGGAUCAGCGCAGUACGGCCAGUCAUAGAAAAAAGAAUACAAAAGUACAGUGAAGGUGAAAUUCGAUUUAACUUAAUGGCUAUUGUGUCUGACAGAAAAAUGAUUUAUGAACAGAAGAUAGCAGAGUUACAAAGACAACUUGCAGAGGAACCUAUGGAUACAGAUCAGGGUAGUAAUAUGUUAAGUGCUAUUCAAUCAGAAGUUGCCAAAAAUCAGAUGCUUAUUGAAGAAGAAGUGCAAAAGUUAAAAAGAUACAAGAUUGAAAAUAUCAGAAGGAAGCAUAAUUAUCUGCCUUUUAUUAUGGAAUUGUUAAAGACUUUAGCAGAACACCAACAGUUAAUACCUCUUGUAGAAAAGAUGUUCUGAUAAAGGGGAAGGAUUCUUUAAUAAGUUCCCCAAGUGAUUCUAAUGCAACUGAUCUGUGUACCACAUUUUGAGAAAUACUGAGAAGAUACUACUAGGCAAAUAAAAUUUUGGACCAUUAAUAUAAAGACCAGAUUACGUGGCAAAAGAAAAACAGAAUGCAAAGAAAGCUCAGGAAACCAAAUGAAGAGGAUGCUUUGGGAUGUGUACACAUAUCUGCUUCUACACUUAUUUUCAUGGCACCAUUAAGUAUAAGGAACUUUGAGCAACAUCCUAAUUGACUCAAUGCACGUUUGGCAAUAGUACCAGUCUGUCUUGUCUUUAAUGCAUGGAUUAAUAAACUUUUCCCCUACCUGCAUCAUGUGCAUGCAGUGCAUAUUAAAUAAAAAUAAUACUGAGAGUGCUUGCCCAAAUUCCGUUUUUUUGACAUUGGAUCUGAGAACUCUUAUUGGUAUUCUGGAUUUAUAACUACAGUAUGAACCUAGAAAAUGCACAAAUGAUAUUCUUUACCUGUAAUUAUUCUGAUUAAUCUUUUUAUUUUUUUUAGCUUAAAUACUUUUGAUUUUUAAAUGUCAAAUCUUAACUGAAAUCUUCUGUUUCUUCUUAUCAUUAAUGGAAAAAAUCAAUAUUUCUGUCUUUGACAUGUGUUUUGAGAAUCUUAAAACUAAAAAUUUCCUCUUAUACCACUUAUUUGAUUUUAAUGCAGAUCAUUUGAAAAGAGCAGAAGUAAAAUUUUUAGUAAUUUUCAUUGCUGCCAAUAGAAAAGGUAAUAAGCAUUGCAAUUUUAUUUUAACAAACUUUCUUCAAGUGUUUGGGGUUACUUUUUAAACCAUAGAAUUAUUGUAGGAAGAUCUGAAUAUUAUGUCUCAAAACAAAAUUUCAAGUUAAGGACAAAUUGUAAUUCUUAAAGAGUUUUGGUAUUAUUACCAAUUUGGCAACCUUUUCAAGUUGUUAAGGUGAGUUUUUAUGGAAAAUUUGAGGUUUGACAAUUCAGGUAAUCUGCUUUAAAAAAAGAUGACAGUGGUGAUAGAGGAUCCUGUGUGCCAAUUUGAUUAAAAUUAGUAUAGCUCAGUUUCCAAGAGCCAUGUAAUGUACAAUUUGCUCACAAUGAUUUUUUUUGGUGGGGGGAGUUGUUUUCAUUUUUAUUUUAUAAAGUACUACUGAACUGUAUUCUCGCUUGUAAUUUUCUUUUUCAAGUAAACUCUAAAUGAAAUUUUAUAAAACUUCUUUUUAUAAAGGAAAUAACCCACUUUUUUCUUUAGCAAGCACAUUUUUGAAAUUGAUAUGUGACUUUUAAACAUUUUAUUAUUUAUUGUAAAAUAAAUUUAACAUAAUUUAUUUUAUUAGGUGGAAUGUGUACCUAUCAUCCAGCUUCAACACAUGAAUUUUUUAUGAUUGUUUUAAAGCUUACUAAUUGUGGUAUUAUUAAAUGACUUAGAACUAAUGCAGGGGAGACCUGUGGUAAAAUUGAGUAGAAAAAUUAAUGAAAUAUUUUUCAUAUAUAAUUUCAGUUGAAGGUACUAAAAAAUAUUUAGUUUUUCAGUUAUUUGUGAGUAAAUAUAUUUUGCUCUUGAUAUGGUAGUAAUUAUGGAGUGUUUUAAAGCUGUGAUACAAUUUUAAAAAAUGGUUUUCUAAGGAUGUUCUUAGGCUCAUCUCAAUCUCAUUCAUUUAUUUCAAUUUAAUUUCUAUAUUUUAUUUUAUUGAGGCUUAAAUUUUGUAAAGCAAUGCCAGGAUUAUUGUAAAAAGUAGUAUCAGUAAUCAGAUAAAUCAAUGGAAUAAAAGACAGGACCUAAAAAUAUUAAUUUUUAUCUGAUCACUUGAUUUUUACAAAGGUGUCAAAUAAUCAAACAGGAAAGGAGAGUCUUCAUCAAUUGUAGGUAGGAUAGUAGAGCUGAACAUCCACUGAAGAAAAAAGGAAUCAAGAGUUCCCUAUCUCACAAAAAAUUAUUUGAGCUGAAUCAUAGAUGUUUUCGUAAUAGCUAAAAAAUAUAAGUCUUUUUUUCCCAGAAAACAUUGGUGAAUAUCUUUGUGACUUGAGAGUAGCCAAAGGUUUCUCGGGUCAUAGAACACAUUAACCAUAAAAGAUCCAGGAUUAGGUGUCAUCAAAAUUAAAAACUUGUCAUUGAAAGACACCUUUAGCAAGAGUAGCUUGCAUAGAAUGACAUCUUUAAAAGAGCUUUAUAAAUUUAGGUUAUAGGUAUAAGGAUUUCUUAAAAAAUUUAAUUUCUUAUAAAAGUCCAUGAUAGGAUUUUCCAUAGUUUAGGAAUGGUUUAUCUGCUGCUUCUUUAAUGAUUGCAAAUGCAUUGUGACACUUCAUGUUUUUUUUUUUUUUUCUUGCUUGUGAAUAAAGAAGUAUGAUUUGUCCUUGUCUUGGUCCUAUAUAUCGCUGUUUUGAAACUAAAUCUGGAAGCUAAUGAGUAGAGAAAGUGGAGGAAUAAAGAGCAAUCCAGAAAAAGAUAAGUAUUAGUUAAGUGGAUUUUGUUUUGGGGGAGUAGAUUUUUAAAGAACAUCAUCUAUUCAUCUAUCAUUUCACUUUUGUAUUUUCUAAAAAUUUUCUCAUUUGACUGGGUAAAUGAAGGCACUUCUAUUUUAUGCUUUUUUUUUUUUUUUUUUUACAAAGCUUGCCAAUUCUUAGGGAUGUACUUCUGCUGUUAUAAACAAAGAAAACUUGCCAACAGCUGUAGCACAGUCUAGUCUCACCUCAUAUGUUUAGUUCUCAAGAUAGCUGCCCUUUUUCUAGCAAAGAACAGUCAGCUCAACUGUGUUACUAGAAAAACAAAUAUUUGUUAUGGGAUCAUGACUGUAGGGAGUUGCUCCUCUGUUUAGGACCAUGAUUAUGAGUAUUAUGGUGCUACAUGGAGAUUACUACCUUUAAUCCACCUAAUCCACCUAGUUGCUUAUAAUAUUUCAGGAUACAUGACUCUCCUCCCGCCCCCAGAAGGAUAUUAGUUCUUUUGCUUUAAAAAAAAAAUGUACUGGGAAUUGAACCCAGAGCUGCUCUAUCCCUGAGUUACAUCCUCAGUCCUUUUUACUGUUUGAGACACAGGGUCUUGCUAAAUUGUUGAGGCUGGCAUUGAACUUGUGAUUCUUCUGAUUCGGCCUCCCAAGUUGCUGGAAUUACAGGUGUGUGCCACUGCACUGAGCAAAAAAAGCUUUUAAGGUAUUUCUCCCCUGAAAAAAUUUAGAGAAAGCAAAGAAGCAAAAAUUUACAUUACCCACAGUUAUAACAAUAGGGAUGACCACAAGAACGUUUUAUUGUAUUUAAUGAUCCCUUUUCUCUAUGUGUAUACGGACAUUUUCAUAUUAGUUUUGCAAGUCCUCCCUAAUACUCUGCAUUAGGUUUAUAUCAUAUAUGUUAUUUUUAAACUUGAUAUGAAAUUUUUAUUUUUAUAUCAAUGAUAACUCAUAGGAUGCAAACUAUUUGAAAGGGAAUUAGGAUUAAUUUUGGGAAUUUUGAAACUACCUACUAGUUUCUUGUAAAGUCACUCGUGGGCUCAAGCAUGAGUCUCCAGAAAUGACUCCUAGCAAAGCAUAUAGUACUGAUCUUCUAACAAGAGAACUCCUACCUCUGCAGCAGUUAAGGAGUCUCUACUAUUGGAGUUGGUGAAAUUAGAGCAUGUUGUAGUAAUUGUGUUCCAGGACAGGGAAACCUACAGUAAUUAUCUGUUAAUACUUCAGGAACAUAUACUGGAAUGAAGAAUAAUUCAACUUCUCCAUGACUAAACAUACCACUUGAAAAUGGCUGAGGCAGUGGGCUGGGGAUGUGGCUCAAGCGGUAGCGCGCUCGCCUGGCAUGCGUGUGGUCCGGGUUCGAUCCUCAGCACCACAUACAAACAAAGAUGUUGUGUGCACCGAAAACUAAAAAAUAAAUAUUAAAAUUAAAAUAAAAAGAAAAUGGCUGAAGCAGUGGUCAGAUAAUUUCUGUUGUACUCUUGCCUUUCAAAUCUUGCAUGAGCUUUUCUAUAAGCAUUUCUAGGAAAUUGAGGUUUUAGCUUUCUAGUCUAUACAGCAUAGGAACAUAUUAGGAAGGAAGUUGAAAUGGAUGUUGACAAUCACACAUUUUUACACUUUUCUACACUGAAACAUUUUUCCUGCUUGCAUAAAUAAUAUCUUUCUUUUAGAGAAAUGAAAAUACAAGCAGAAAAAAUAAAAAUCUAAUCCCAUUCAUUAGAGAGAGAGUCAUGGUUAAUGUUUUGAAGUAUCUAAGAAUAUGUACAUUUACAAUUGUGUGUAUAUACAUAUAUAUAUGUAGAAAUUUUCUUUUAUAAAAUGGGAUCAUACAAUUAAACAUUUGUUCUAUGCUUUUUUCCAUAAACUUCACAUCGAUAAUGGGCUUACAUCUUUUUUUUUUUAGUUAUCCCUUAGUAUUCCAUUAAAUAGAUACACUUUAAUGUAUUUCACAAGCUCCAUAGUUAACAAGCUCCACAAUAAAGAACAAAGUAUAAUAAUAAAAUGGACAAACUGGAUAGCUUGAUUUUUUAGGGUAAGAUUUUAUUGAAAGUCAAUUCCUAGAACAGUCAAGGAUACAUGUUAUUUAAUUUGUUCAUGGUCUUAAUCUUUACUGGCCUAAAUCUAGUGACUGACAGUAAAAUUUCACCACUUCUAGCAUACUGGGUACCUUUUAUUUUUAACUUGAUUAUACUAAUUCUUAACUUUUCAGUAAUUUUCAACCUGUAUCUGAGUUGUUCUAGAUGCUGAAAAUAUAGUGGUGAAAAAGAUAAAUUCCUGCCCUCAUGGUGAAAUGAAUAUACAAGUGUGUGAAUGUUAUUUUUCUAGUAGUUAGGGAGAACUGUAAAAAAUAGAGAGUUGAGGUUUGAUAGGAUGGUCAUGGAAAGUCAGCCCGUUUAAGGAGAGGAUAUUUAAGCAGAACCUAAAUGAAGAGAAUUUCCUGCUCAAGUACUGAACCAGCACUAUGAAAGUGGAUUGCAUGCCGGCAAAACCAAGUUUAAUAAUUUAGGAUGCUAAUUUGCAAUAAUGUUUAAUAGUUAAAAGAUUUAUGAAAGUUAAUAUAGGGUGUUAAUAUGAAAAUAGGUUGAACAAAAAUAUAUAAAAAAGACUAGGACCACUGAUCUAUGUGCCUUUUAGACUAUUGAUGUUCUAUGAAACACACUUCUUUGGCUCUUUCUUGUAGCCAUAAUAUAGUAUUGACUAAACCACAAAUUCAUUGGGAGGAAAUCUCAUGUAAAUUUUUUUUUGGUUGGUUUUAAGAAAAUUUUUUGUUUUAUUUUAUUUGGUGGUAUUAGCAUUUGAAUCAGGGCCUCAAACAUGCUAGGUUAGUGCUCUACUACUACAUCCUCAGCCCACAGUUUUGUUUCUAAAAAUAUUUUCAACCCUGCUCCUUUAUAAUAAAGUUGUAAACAUGAAAUUAAAACUGAAAUUACUAGAAACAAUAUGGCUUAGUAUUUUAUUAUUGAGAAUAGAAACAAAACUUCCUAAGCAAAAAGUAAAGUAAUAAAAACAGAAGAGAAACAGUUGAAUAUAUAAAACUAAAAGAUUUCUGUACAGCAAUAGAUGCCAGAAACUCUUAAAAGACAAUAAUCCAACCAAUAAAAUUAUCAUAUAUCAUGAAAUAUAUCAGAAAUAUAGUUAACAUAUACUGAGUACCCCUAUCAAAAAUGGAAUGGAGGGAGCAGGAGAAGCACUCAGGAGAAAAAUUGGCAAGCUGUAGGAACAGAAAAUUCAGAGAAGAAAUUAAAAUGACUAGUAACACAAAAUAUGGUAAAUCCCACUAGUCAUCAAGAAGAUGCAGAAUAAUAAAGGAAUUUCUUUCAUUUCUGUUUUCCCCUACCUCCUUUCCUCCUUUUUCUCUCUGGCCAUCUUUCUCCCCUCUCUCUCUUCCCUCCUUCUUUCGAAGCAUCUCAUGAUGCUCAUCAUUCUUAUAUACCUCCUUUACAUAUUUCCACCAUUCUUCUAAUUAGAAUGAUUUUUAGAGGUGAAAGUUGUAUUAUAGACAAAAUUGUACUGUGGAGGUGCUUGUGUGAAAAAAUUAUCUCUGGAUUUAUCAGAAGCUUUGUAGGAGACAUUAAUGACCUUUGCUGAGUUAUUAAGGAAUGCAUAGAGUAAGUGGUAACCAUGAGCUCUGGGAUUCAGUGGCUCCCUGAGGGCUGGUAAUUAUCAUUUCAAUUAGAGGCUAUCUAUUGUAUCCAGGUUAUGCUUCCCAGGCAGUGUCUCCUAGUGAGGUUACCAGGGUCCAAGAUGUGUCCUUUCAGCUUACGAUUUGAGCAUAGUCAUUGAAGGUGAUAAGGACUUUGGAUUGUUAAGCCAACUUAAUAAAACUUGCAGGAGACUAAUGUACACCUGGAAAUACAACUUCUUCUUUUAUUUUACUAUUAUCACUUCCAGCUGACCAGACAUUCAUAUCACCCUAUCAAUACAUUCUCUCUCUAGCAGAUAAACUUACCAAGGAAACCAGAGUAAGACCAGAAGAUUGGUUGACUACAGAAUUGUUGCUAAGGAAAUUUUUUAAAUAGAUACUGGCUGUGAUAGAUAGCCUGUGAUAUGUUUUGCCAUACUAGACAAAUCUUUCUCCAUUACAUACCAACUUGUUCAAAAUGUUAACCAUCCUUUCUCACAUUACUAGGGACAGAAUGACAAAAACUUAAACUCCAUUAUUAUCACUUUUUAAAAUUUUGUUUUACUUAGUUACACAUGACAGUACAAUGACCUUGACAUAUCAUACAUUUGAAUCAGAUGGGAUAUAAUUUCUCAUUUUUCUGAGUGUACAGGUUGCAGAAUCAUAUUGGUCAUGCAGUCACAUAUAUACAUACAGUAAUAAUAAUGUCUGUUUCAUUCUACUAUCCUUCCUAUCCCUCCAUCCCCUCCCUUUUUGGUUGACAUUUUCCGGCUCUCUUUCUCAUAUCAACAAAUGUUUUCAAAUGUGAUGUAAUUUAAAUUUUUGCUUAUUUGUUUCUAAUUUUAUACUAAUCUGCUGUUCUAUUGACAUUUGGAGAGGCUCCUUAGUUUAAUUUUUGAAACUCCAGAUAGGAGUACUAUUUCCUAUAACCUAUGUAACAUUCAUGUAUGAAGAAUUAGUGUUUCUGUUCUAAUGUUGCCAAUGUGAGCUUUCCUAAUAACUUCUAUCUAAUUUAUUAACUUGGAAUGCUCUGCAUACUUAUAAUAGUGGUAAGCUUUUCUCUUAAAGAAUACAGAAUUGCUAUUGGAGUGGCAUUGCAAAUACAGUGAACAUCUUGGGUGAUGCAGUUCCUUUAUUUGGAUUUUAGGCAGAAAUUUACUUGAAUUAACAUUUGCAAUUAAAGAAAAAAAUUCCCAAUGAUAUGCCAACUUAAGUAUUCUCCUUACAUUUUCCACAAAUAACGUGGCCACACUGCUCUCGUUAUAUGAACUAUACUUUGUUGCCAACUUUAUUGAAGUUAGUCAGCACAACUUCACAGUUAAAACACUGAAUUCUGUGCUUACUACUUUAUUUUCAAAUUGUAACUCUGUAUUGCAGUAUGGAGACUAUUGGGAUUAGAUUUAGGAGAUUUAUAAUUCUAGUCCUGCUAUGCUAUUUAUUGUAUGAUCUUGGCCUGUAUUUUGUUAUCUGCUGAAAUGUACUUUGUCCUUUGUUAUAAAUUUCACAUAGUGCUUAUAGAGCAAACAUGGCUUUUGCAUCUGUUUAUAUUAUUAAACUGUAAAACAAAUAUGACCAAAUUAAAGCUUCAUUGUAUUAGAUACAAAAACA